rnacentral:pre_miRNA from 1 species
UGUUAAAAAAUUCGUUCAUUUUUAUCAUUAAAUUAGUGUAAUUGAUGAAAUAACUAGACAAUUACAAAUAACGUGUCAUGCCAUGUGGAGCUCAUGUUGAGAUAUAGAGACCAUUUUUUAAUGAUAAAAAUGGAUGAAAUUUUUACCA